rnacentral:rRNA from 1 species
AACGAACGCUGGCGGCAUGCCUAACACAUGCAAGUCGAACGAGACCUUCGGGUCUAGUGGCGCACGGGUGCGUAACGCGUGGGAACCUGCCCUUAGGUUCGGAAUAACUCCCCGAAAGGGGUGCUAAUACCGGAUAAUGUCUUCGGACCAAAGAUUUAUCGCCUUUGGAUGGGCCCGCGUUGGAUUAGCUAGUUGGUAGGGUAAAAGCCUACCAAGGCGACGAUCCAUAGCUGGUCUGAGAGAAUGAUCAGCCACACUGGGACUGAGACACGGCCCAGACUCCUACGGGAGGCAGCAGUGGGGAAUAUUGGACAAUGGGCGAAAGCCUGAUCCAGCAAUGCCGCGUGAGUGAUGAAGGCCUUAGGGUUGUAAAGCUCUUUUACCCGAGAUGAUAAUGACAGUACCGGGAGAAUAAGCUCCGGCUAACUCCGUG